rnacentral:rRNA from 1 species
UCUGGCGACCGGCGCACGGGUGAGUAACACGUAUCCAACCUGCCCUUUACUCGGGGAUAGCCUUUCGAAAGAAAGAUUAAUACCCGAUAGCAUAAUGAUUCCGCAUGGUUUCAUUAUUAAAGGAUUCCGGUAAAGGAUGGGGAUGCGUUCCAUUAGGUUGUUGGUGAGGUAACGGCUCACCAAGCCUUCGAUGGAUAGGGGCUCUGAGAGGAAGGUCCCCCACAUUGGAACUGAGACACGGUCCAG